rnacentral:tRNA from 1 species
AGUAUAAGUUAGGAAACACAGAGAUUGCUAAUUGCCUGGCCCCGCAGUUCAACUCCGCGGUCUACUC